CACUCUGACUCGAUCUUUUAUAUUUUAUGGCAACGUAUAUUCUUGAUGCUUUCAGGGAGUUCCAUCAUUGUUCACUGAUCUUUCUCCAUUGUAUGAUCAUCCUGGAAAGGCAGACAUUCUUGAGGAACUUAUUAUUGAGCUGGAGCAUGCUGUUAGGACUUCUGGUCAAUUCCCUGGAAGGUCAGAGAAAGAACCUCCUUCAACUCUUAUGUGGACCUUAUUCCUAUUAGCACAGCAUUACGACAGAAGGGGACAAUAUGAAA